CCAUGCCGCAUCAGAGAGAGAGAGAGAGAGAGAGAGAGAGAUGAGUGGGGAUCUCAGCGCCAUUGCUGCAGAUCCUCGAUUUCAUGAGUGGGAGAGGGGGUACAGUCAGAGAAAAACAUGGGGACCAUCGGGAUUUGAGGAAGAGGGGUAUUUGGCUUAUUUUCGUCAGAUUUCUCAGACGCUUUUGCUAAUGAAGAGAGUGUUCGGUUCUUUGAUUUCUUUUGUCUGCCUCCUUCUAUGUUGCUUUGUCAGUUUCAUUUUCCAGUGCUGGCUCAUGGAAAUUUGUAAAAAUGGCUGUAGUUUUCUGAGAAGAGAGAGAGAGAAAGAGUUCGUUCGACGCUUAAACCAGAGCCAGGUAUAUCUCUCCUCUUGCUUUCUCUCUACGAUGUUCUAUCCCAAUUUCUCUCAGACAGUAAGGGUUUUGGUUUGCUUUCUUGGAUUAGAUUUGUAUAUAUUCCAUUGCAUCUCAGUUUUCUCUGAUUUAAUAGCAUAAUUUUCUUAGCAUCAAAAUUGUAUCUGGCUCUUGGUUUUCUUGAUCUAAUUUUUUAUUUAUUUCUAUAAUUAGAUAAAUUAAGGAAUAAAUUUAUAUUAGUAUAUGAGUAUUCGAUUCUGAUAUAAAAUUUAUAUUAGUAUAUGAGUAUUCGAUUCUAAUAUCAUAUAUUAGUAUAUGAGUAUUCGGUGUUUGCUAAGGCGCUUCUCGAGACGGCGUUGGAAUGUGCAGGUGAUGAGGAUUCAGGGGAUGAGGAGGAAAUGGCAAAGGAGGAGGACCAAAACGCGCUCUCUGUUAGGAUAAUUGAUGCCCUGAAUUCCAGAAAGUCUGCACUUCACCACUCAUUAAUUAUAUGGUGAAAGUUUUUACGCAACCUCAUUACUUGCAAAAUUUUGUUCAGUCAACAUUCAAUGCCCUACCAUCAGAUCAAGUUAAAGUAAGGAGGAAGCUACUACUUUUAUGGAGCUUCUUUGGCAUGGUUAUUCUCAAUCCUCAGAUAGUGAUUAUUUAAGGACUUAUCCAAACUUGGCUACUCAGCUUUUCAAAUACAGAGCAGAGAGGAGUCAGAUGAGCUAGAAUCAAGUUGGUAUCAUUCUAAAUUAUUCUUAAUCAUUUACAACUUGCAGAAUUAGUUAAAUGUAUCAAAUGACUAGCAUGUGAAUUUGUGUAUAGUUAAAAAUAAUCUUAUCCUUAAGGAUUAUUGAUUUGGGAAAUUUGGUUGAGUAAAUUUAGGGUUACUGAUUGGGCUAAUUUGGUUGAUUAGUUGAUCUGAUUUGGAUGGGUUUGUGGGUUAGUUUCUAGGAAUGUUCCAUUGGUGUUCUUUUUCUUCUACACAGUUACCAAAAUCUCAAACCCCCAUUUGAUCCUCGAGUACGACCCAAUCAUAUUUGCUGUAAUACAAUCAUAUUCUUGAGGUUUGGAUUUUUCUCUCAUGUGUGUUCUCUAAACUAAAAUGCACUUCUUAGACUUCUGUUUCUUAUGGAAACGGGCAUCCUGCAUGUUUUUUGCUUUGCAUGUUUGUGCUUGAAAACUUAGAUGCUAGAAUAAGAAUGAAACAGUUUUUAUAUUUUUUUGUCAACUGCUAAAACAUGUGCCUAACCUACAGGAUAUAUAUUUUGCCACCUUGACUGCAGGGGCUAGAUUUGUGUGAAGAUCAUGUUGCUUCUCUUUCUUCUGUUUAUUAGGGAAACAGAACAUUCAGUUUCGUCCGGUUAAUUGUACAAUGUCUUUUCAUGUCAGCUAAGUUGAAUGUAUAUAAAAACGAAGCUGCAUAUCUUACCGACCCCAUUCACUCAUCUAUCCCUCUGUGCAUUCAUGAUUGUGCUGAAUUUAUUCAGGUAAAAUGUGUUUUAUUCAUGCAGUUCAAGAUGAUGCAUUCAAGUCCCGCAGCAACGCGCGAGCAUAUUUUCUAGUUAAUUACUAUUGGUUUUCCCUCAAUAUAGACAACAUUAAAUUGGUCAAAUUUAUUUAGUAAAGUUUUUAUGAUUGUAGAAUUUCUUGUUUAAAUUUCUGGUUUUAGAGAAUUCUUCAUUAAAUUUCUGGGUGCUUUUGAGGUUAUUUUAUCUGUGAGAUUUAGUAAUUUUUUCUAGAUUUUGUAGAAUUGUUCGAUUAAAUUUGUGGGUUUGGUUAUUUUUUAUUUUGUGCAUUUUAUAGUGAACUUGGUUGUGGGUUUCGAUGUUUGUCUAUGGCAAGGUAAGGGAUGCCAACUCAUGAACCAAGUGGCCUUUCAGCACCUGUAGGAGAUGAGCGAAGUGAUAUGGUAUAGUUUCCUUUAAUUUUUACAAUUGCUAAAUGUAGAUGACCAAAGCGAAAUAUCAUUGAGCUCUUUGCAAAUUCAGAUUGUUGAUUUUUUUUUUCCUUUCAAUUGCACGUCCACAAAAUCCCUUCAAGUAUUGGUACGACUAAGUUGCAACUCUCACAAAACAACGGAGACACCGCGCUAAACCCUUGCCGCCCGAUGACCCCAAUUCUCAGGAAUGAUUGAGAUAAGCUUGUGGCGCAAGUGCAUCUACUGUGUAGUAGUGCAAGUCCAUUUUUAGGGCCCAAGGGUGAUUGUUGUGGGACCAACAGAUUCUGGGGGUGUUGUAUCCAGGAAUGCCAAAUUCCGUCAAAAAUCCAGGAGUCAUAGGAUAAGGGAGUAUUUCUAUGGCCUUGCAAAUGAUCUCAGCCCACAUUCUAAUAUCGCGAAUUUUAGUGACUUUUCUGUCUUUCGGAUUGGGGGCGGGCCACAGGCCCCACGUUCAGCUUUGCCAAUUGGUGCAGAGCCUGCUGCGGACCCUACAAGAUUGGCGCCUGUGAAUAUUAACCGGGAUUUGCUACAUACCAUUCUUGCUGUUUCAUUUGCCAAGGAGCCUGAUCAAAUUAUUUCUAGUAAUGUUGCUGGGUUUGUCUUUGUCACAGACGUCGACAUUCAGAGGAAGACAAUUACGUACCUUGCACCAUCGGCGGGUGAGCUUCCAAGCAAGUAUUUGAUUGCAGGAACCGUGACAUGGCUUGAAACAUGAAGUCGAUGAGCAAAAACCCCAGUAGUAUUGCUUUCCGGUGGAUGUACGUUGCUGGCUUAUGUAAGGAGUGUAAGAUGUGAGCUAUCUAGGCGUAAAAUUAGUUUUAACGAUGCAUCCCAAAUACGACAACAGAUUAGAAUAUUAUUGUCGUUUUUUUGCAUCCUAAAUUUGUUAUGCGAGUCUUGUUUGUCGUAUUUUAGAUUAUACUAGAAUUUAGAAAGGCGUGCCAAAGCCUGAAUUACAGGCAACCACAAUUUUUUUUUUUUUUUUGUUUUUUGGUUUUCUGUACAAGAUAUUUAAACGAAGGACUAAGGGAUGGAGGAAUAAAUUGGCUAAGUGGCAUUCAGGUA